UACGUAGGGGUGCGAGCGUUAAUCGGAAUUACUGGGCGUAAAGUGUGCGCAGGCGGCUUCGCAAGUCGAGUGUGAAAUCCCCGAGCUUAACUUGGGAAUUGCGUCUCGAAACUGACGGAGCUGAGUGUGGCAGAGGAAGGUGGAAUUCCACGUGUAGCGGUGAAAUGCGUAGAGAUGUGGAGGAACACCGAUGGCGAAGGCAGCCUUCUGGGCCAACACUGACGCUCAUGCACGAAAGGCGUGGGGAGCAAACAGG
rnacentral:rRNA from 1 species